UCGGGCGGCACGCCGAAUCCUGCCCCCGACCGGCGAUUUCUCCGUCACCAUGUGGCAGGAACGGGGGAACCAUCUCCGAGCAUCGAAAGGAUUCGAUGCUCUAGGGGUGAAGUCAUGCGUCGCCAGACCGACCGUGGUUUCGGUCUGUGCGCGUCCCAGGAUGUCCCUGGCAUGACCGGGCAGUUCCCAGCCCGAAUCCGACAGCUCACCUCGCAGGCGUGGGGAAGGACUA
rnacentral:sRNA from 1 species